GAGGAGCACAGCCUGUAGAGUGAGCAUCCUGGAUCCCAGGACUUAGCAGCCCUGGCCAUGGGUCUGGAGCCUAGUGAGAGAAGGCAAGAGUACCCUUGCAGGUAUCUAGCAGGUAGCUCUCUGGGGAAUGCUUGUUGCAUAAACCCAACAGAGUCCCUGUGAAAUAGUCAGAGGCCUCCGCUUUUCAGGCUCAAGCCCUGUAGCUACUCCACUAGUGUUGGAGACGCACGAUGACCACACAGGGAACAUAACUUCAAGGAGGUAGAGGCCUGGCUUCUCGUGAAACCUGCAGCUGUGCAAGUGUAGACAAAGAGGUGGAAGUUGUCACAGGUGGAUGACCCUGGCCCUAAAACAUGCCCUCCAGACCUUCUAGGCUGGCAGUGGAACAACCCCUUUGGAGAAGGCUGGGGGACCUUAGAGCCCGACUGCCAUCACCUUAGAGAUGCCACAGCCCUCAGUGGGCUGGCCCGAGUGCCGUAGUGGCCUGCCUCCCCUUCCUCGCCCCUGCAGGUGCCCACGUGGGGAGACUGGGGACCACUUGCCUAAACACUUGGCGAAUCAGACUCGGCCGGACUAGAGGCUGGGAGCCUUGUUUCCACAGCAGCACUGCAUCUUCUAUUUGGGGGUUGCUCACCAGGACCCACCCGCCCAGAACCUCACUCUGCAGCUGAGCAGAGACUUUGGAGUCCAGCUACCAGCGGUAGAGCCCUGCUCUGCCACAGCUCCUCCGUUCUCGUGGCUGCACUGUUCAACCUCUCUGAGCCUCUGUCUUCUCAUCUGGAAAACGAAGAUAGAUCCCACCUGUCAAAGUUCUCCUGACCAUUAAAUCAUACAGUGGAUACGAACUGCCCCGCACAGCUUUGGCACACAGAAGUGAUCCCUGCCAGGCGAUGCCCCAGCUCCAGGCCCUUUUCUCUAUGAAUGCUUCUCCAGCCACACGUUCAGAGCCUUUCCAGUGCAGUGAAAGGCCUCAUGAUUCUCUUUUAAAUUAACUGAAAUCCUA